GUUCUUUGGUCGCUCCACCGUUACUUGGAUAACUGUGGUAUUCUAGAGCUAAUA
rnacentral:rRNA from 1 species